AGGAAAUGAAAAACCCCACUUUGAUGUAGCUUAUAUUCUAAUAAUGGAGACAAAAUAAACAAGAAACAUUAAGUAAAAAUACCAAAUUUUAGAUCUUAAUAAGUGCCAAAGUAGACCAAAGAGACCGGUUGCACUGGCUUACACCUGUAAUUCCAGCACUAUGGGAGGCCAGGAGUUGAAUUCAGGAGUUCAAGACCAGCCUGGGCAACACAGUAAGACCACAUCUCAAAAAAAAACAAGAAGAAAAGUAGGCCAAAGAAAUAUAAAUUACGUAUGUGGUAGAGGGGACUUGACAGUUUAGAUAGGAUGUCUGAAAGAGGCUUCCCAGAGAGUGCGUUUCUGAGUUAAACAAUGAAGUGGGUAAUCUAGUAAUAGAGUGUUUGGAAUAAGAGCAUUCCAAGGAGACAUACAAAAAGCAACAACCUUGGAGUUGUAACACAUUUAGCAUAUUCAAGGUAGAGUCAGAAGCCAGUGUGCUGGAAACAACUGAAUGAAAGAGAGAGGAUAAAGAAGAAAUCAGGAUACUAAGAAGAGGAGAGCAGGUAAUGUUCCACACUGAAGAUCACAGAAAAGACUUCAAGUAAAUUCUAAGUGAAGUGGACAGCCAGAAGGAAUGUUUUAAGAAUUUUUAGACAGAAUUUGACGUCAUUACUAUGGCAAGGACAAAAUCACGAGGAUCAGGCCUUUAUUAUCUGAAGACUGAAAGACUGAAUGAGAAAUGCAUCUGAUCUAAUGCUGAGACAGUCGAAUUUGGGAAUUUGAAAUGCGAUUUACCAGAGAGCAACUUGGGCUUAGCACAUGGAUGGCCUUUUCUGGUCCGCCUGGUAAACUCCUAUUCUUCCUUCAGAUUCAGCCCAAAUCAGUCUUCAGUAAUAUGACAUGAUUCUACAUCUAGAAAACCCAUGGUCC
rnacentral:lncRNA from 10 species